rnacentral:rRNA from 1 species
UGGUUUCUCCCUUCUGACGAACCAUGAUGUCCUUUAUUUGGUGUUGUGGGGAAUCAGGACUGUUACUUUGAAAAAAUUAAAAUGUUUAAAGCAGGGUCACGCUUGAAUACAUUAGCAUGGAAUAAUGAAAUAAGACGUUUGAUUCUAUUUUGUUGGUUUCUAGGAUCGACGUAAUGAUUAAUAGGGAUAGUUGGGGGCAUUAGUAUUCAAUUGUCAGAGGUGAAAUUCUUGGAUUUAUUGAAGACUAACUACUGCGAAAGCAUUUGCCAAGGAUGUUUUCAUUAAUCAAGAACGAAAGUUAGGGGAUCGAAGACGAUCAGAUACCGUCGUAGUCUUAACCAUAAACUAUGCCGACUAGGGAUCGGAUGAUGUUAAUUUUUUAAUGACUCAUUCGGCGCCUUACG